UCCUAGUUAACCUAGGCAGUCUCACUAGAGUCCCCACCUUAAGUGUUGGCAACUAAUGAUAAGGGUUGCGCUCGUUGCGGGACUUAACCCAACACCUCACGGCACGAGCUGACGACAGCCAUGCAGCACCUACUUAGCAGUCCUUGCGGAAAGUUCCAUCUCUGGAAUUGUCUACUAAAUUUCAAACCUGGGUAAGGUUCUUCGCGUUGCAUCGAAUUAAACCACAUGCUCCACUGCUUGUGCGGGCCCCCGUCAAUUCUUUUGAGUUUCACCCUUGCGAGCGUACUCCUCAGGCGGUAUACUUAUCGCGUUAGCUACGACACAAUUAGGGUUGAGCCCAAUUACAUCAAGUAUACAUCGUUUACGGCAAGGACUAC
rnacentral:misc_RNA from 1 species